rnacentral:lncRNA from 1 species
GUCGUCCUCCACUUAGUUUGUUAAGUUUGUUACAAAGCAUUUCCAAUUAAGCGAAUCGAUAUAUUAAUGCUUGUUUUACUGAUGUAGUUAAUACGGUUGAUUUACGUGUGAUUGAUAUAUUAUUGGAUAUGAUUCUGAAAGUAACAGUUGGAAUUGGGAAUUUAUAAAAUGUUUUCGAACAAUAUAUAUUUACUAUCUUUGGUGAAGC